GAUGAACGCUGGCGGCGUGCCUAAUACAUGCAAGUCGAGCGAACGGACGAGAAGCUUGCUUUUCUGAUGUUAGCGGCGGACGGGUGAGUAACACGUGGAUAACCUACCUAUAAGACUGGGAUAACUUCGGGAAACCGGCGCUAAUACCGGAUACUAUUUUGAACCGCAUGGUUCAAAAGUGAAAGACGGUCUUGCUGUCACUUAUAGAUGGAUCCGCGCUGCAUUAGCUAGUUGGUAAGGUAACGGCUUACCAAGGCAACGAUGCAUAGCCGACCUGAGAGGGUGAUCGGCCACACUGGAACUGAGACACGGGCCAGACUCCUACGGGAGGCAGCAGGAGGGAAGCUUCCGCAAUGGGCGAAAGCCUGACGGAGCAACGCCGCGUGAGUGAUGAAGGUCUUCGGAUCGUAAAACUCUGUUAUUAGGGAAGAACAUAUGUGUAAGUAACUGUGCACAUCUUGACGGUACCUAAUCAGAAAGCCACGGCUAACUACGUG
rnacentral:rRNA from 1 species